UACGUAGGGUGCGAGCGUUUGUCCGGAAUUAUUGGGCGUAAAGAGCUCGUAGGCGGCUCAGUAAGUCAGGUGUGAAAACUCCAGGCUCAACCUGGAGACGCCACCUGAUACUGCUGUGGCUAGAGUCCGGUAGGGGAGCAUGGAAUUCCUGGUGUAGCGGUGAAAUGCGCAGAUAUCAGGAGGAACACCAGUGGCGAAGGCGGUGCUCUGGGCCGGAACUGACGCUGAGGAGCGAAAGCGUGGGGAGCAAACAGG
rnacentral:rRNA from 1 species